rnacentral:lncRNA from 1 species
UUAAGUAAAGAUUUGAAUACAUUAUGUUAUUUAUUUUCAUUAGUCUUUUCAAAUAACACUUCUACUUCGGAUAGAAAGCAGAAACUAGAAAGCACCUUUUCUGGUUGGUGAAAAGAUUAAAUGUAUUAUGCUAUUUUCAUGUUAAUUAGCCUUUUCAAAUAACACUUUGGUGUCAAGACUUAUGUUUACUGGCAGGCCCGAAAGCCUAUGUGUUUGAUUUUAUUUUGUUGAUUUUUUUUGGUGGUGGUUAGAGCUGGCAAAACGGGUCAUCGGGUCGUGUUCGUGUCGUGUCAGUUUCAUGUCGUGUCAAAUUUAGGUCGAUCCAAACCCGACCCAUUUAAUAAUCGUGUCAAAAUAUUGAGACCCAAACCCGACACGGAAAAAUAAUCGGGUUACCCAAUAACCCAUUUAAUAUCUAUAUAUUGAACAAAAGUUACAUAAAAUAUUUACACACUAUCAUACAUACGUAUGUACAUAAAUACAUACAUACAUAAUUUAUCGAUAUUAUAAAAUAUAUAUAUCUACCAAUAUAUUACACAUUUACACUAUUGAGGUUUUAAUUAUAUAUAUAUAUAAUAUUAUAUAUCAAUAUUAUAAAAUAUACAUGUCUAUUAAUUUUUACACAUUUACACUAUUGAAGCUCUAAAUGUAUGUAAAAUUUUAUAAAUAAAACAUUGUGUUUAUAUUCACCAUUUUAAAGAAUAAAAAAAAAAUAUCUCUAAUAUUUGAGUUUUAAUUAUAAGAAUAUGUAAAUUAUUUUAAAAUAGAAAAUAUAAUCGGGUCAUUGAUCGGGUAAAUGGGUCAAGAAUUUUAACCCAAACCCGACAUGGAAAAAAAUCGUGUUGACCUGGACCCGACCCAUUUAAUAAUCGUGUUAAAUUUGACGACCCAUACCCAUUUAUUUAUGUCGUGUUCGUGUCGGGUAAUCGGGUCGUGUCAAAUUUUGCCAACUCUAGUGGUGGUAGACUGGUUUUAAUUUUCCAGAAGAGAAUUUUUGUGAGUUUACUUAAGAUUAACAAAUUAAAAAUAAUGUUUUUCUUUUUUUUUUUCUUAAAAGUUAUCAUCUUGCAAUUAAAAAUAUUGCAUAUAAUAAAGACAAUUUGGAAAACAAACAAAAUUAGCAAAUAAUCAUGAAUGCA